CUACGGAGGGUGCAAGCGUUACUCGGAAUCACUGGGCGUAAAGGGUGCGUAGGCGGCUUGAUAAGUCGGAUGUGAAAGCCCCGGGCUUAACCUGGGAAUUGCAUUCGAUACUGUCAGGCUAGAGUAUGUCAGAGGUUGGCGGAAUUCCUGGUGUAGCGGUGAAAUGCGUAGAUAUCAGGAGGAACACCAGUGGCGAAGGCGGCUAACUGGGACAAUACUGACGCUGAGGCACGAAAGCGUGGGGAGCAAACAGGAUUAGAAACCCUAGUAGUCC
rnacentral:rRNA from 1 species